UACGGAGGGGGGCUAGCGUUGUUCGGAAUUACUGGGCGUAAAGCGCGCGUAGGCGGCUUUGUAAGUUAGAGGUGAAAGCCCGGAGCUCAACUCCGGAACUGCCUUUAAAACUGCAUCGCUUUGAAUCCAGGAGAGGUGAGUGGAAUUCCGAGUGUAGAGGUGAAAUUCGUAGAUAUUCGGAAGAACACCAGUGGCGAAGGCGGCUCACUGGACUGGUAUUGACGCUGAGGUGGCGAAAAGCGUGGGGGAGCAAACAGG
rnacentral:rRNA from 1 species